rnacentral:rRNA from 1 species
CCCUUAGAUGUCCUGGGCCGCACGCGCGUUACACUGAUGCAUUCAACGAGCUUAUAACCUUGGCCGAGAGGCCUGGGCAAUCUUCUUAAUAUGUAUCGUGAUAGGGAUAGAUUAUUGCAAUUAUUAAUCUUGAACGAGGAAUUCCUAGUAAACGCAGAUCAUCAAUCUGCAUUGAUUACGUCCCUGCCCUUUGUACACACCGCCCGUCGCACCUACCGAUUGGAUGUUCCGGUGAAGCCUCGGGAUGAGGACUGGUGCCUUUAUUGGCAUGAGUUGUUCAGAACUUGUCUAAACCUUAUCAUCUAGAGGAAGGUGAAGUCGUAACA